UACGUAGGGGGCAAGCGUUGUCCGGAAUCAUUGGGCGUAAAGCGCGUGUAGGCGGCUCGAUAAGUCUGCUGUGAAAGUCCAGGGCUCAACCCUGGGAUGCCGGUGGAUACUGUCGAGCUCGAGUCCGGAAGAGGCGAGUGGAAUUCCUGGUGUAGCGGUGAAAUGCGUAGAUAUCGGGAGGAACACCUGUGGCGAAAGCGGCUCACUGGACCAUUACUGACGCUGAGGCGCGAAAGCUAGGGGAGCAAACAGG
rnacentral:rRNA from 1 species